rnacentral:lncRNA from 1 species
UUGAAAAGCCAUAAUUCACAGCUACAUAAGAGUGCAGCGAAGGACUCUCUCAGUCAGAUGUGACCUGACAAGUUAAGUAGAUGAUACUCUUCUUAAACAUUAAUCCAAAAACCACAGCACCUGCCAGAUUUGCUUUGAUGUGACGUCCGAUGGGAUCUGCUGUCCUUCUCGGUACUACUCCAAUCGAAGCAUAUGGGCUGUCAUACGAUAACGUACAGCUCCAGCCUCUUCAUCUGCCCACUGUGCAGAAGGCCAUGAAGUGGCUCGUAUCUGAUUCAAGUUGCAGCCGGUGACCUGCUGCUGUAGUUCUUGUAAAGUGGUAUGGAGGAGGUUAGACCAUACCCCAACUCCUGGACUUGUCAGCUGUGCCUGGGGAGAUAACCAGCACCAGAUGUGGCUUGUGAUGCUCCAGUGUAAAUAACCAGCCAGUGACCCCACUGGGUGUUGUUAGAAAACUUGGAAUCAUGUGCAUUUCUUCUGGUUGUUG